rnacentral:rRNA from 1 species
GUGCCAGACUCCUACGGGAGGCAGCAGUGAGGGAUAUUGGUCAAUGGGGGAAACCCUGAACCAGCAACGCCGCGUGAGGGAAGACGGUUUUCGGAUUGUAAACCUCUGUCCUCUGUGAAGAUAAUGACGGUAGCAGAGGAGGAAGCCCCGGCUAACUACGUGCCAGCAGCCGCGGUAAUACGUAGGGGGCAAGCGUUAUCCGGAAUCACUGGGUGUAAAGGGAGCGUAGACGGCUGUGCAAGCCUGAAGUGAAAGGCGGGGGCCCAACCCCUGGACUGCUUUGGGAACUGUACGGCUGGAGUGCAGGAGAGGUAAGUGGAAUUCCUAGUGUAGCGGUGAAAUGCGUAGAUAUUAGGAGGAACACCAGUGGCGAAGGCGGCUUACUGGACUGUAACUGACGUUGAGGCUCGAAAGCGUGGGGAGCAAACAGGAUUAGAUACCCGGGUA